GUUAAAUGCUGGAGAGGUGGGGAGUUAGUAAGAUGUUGAGAGAGCUUUGAGGACACUUGCUGUGAGUAUGGAGCUGGUUUUAGUGACUUUUGGAGUUGUGGCUAUGGAUAAAGAAGACUGUUUCAGGCUGACUCCAGCUGAACCUGGGAGUGCUGAGACUGUGGCUACAAACAAUUGCAAAUGGAUUUUCCCUGCCUGGGUCGCUGUGGUUAUGGAGCAGCAGCCAGCCUAGAGAAGUGAAUUUUAAACUGCCUGAGACUCUGUUGCCACUCUGUAUCGAAGUACAGAAAUGCAGGGAAGACCCUCUGUUUGACAGACAACACUAACUAUUGGACAAAUGAAAAGGAAUUAAUAGAAAUGCUGCUAAAUAUUGCUCCUUGCAAUUUGAACAAUAGAUGUUGUCUUUUGCCACGGUAUGUAGCAAAAUAACACAUUUUUCAAUCAUAUUUAGUAUCUCUUGGAGGAAAAAAGA